AACAGAAUCUGGCUAAGUAAACACCCUCAAUGAAGCAGCUGGAGAGUUUAAAAUAAACAGAGCUACUGUGCCAAGUUCGUAAUUCCUUACACAUUCAGCACUCUGCCCCUUCUGAACAUGCCAUCGAAACCAGAUUUGUGUACUUGAUAUAAUUAUCCUGAAACCAGAGCUGCUCAAACACUGUGCCGUUUACAUACUUGAGCCCACUUUCCCCUUCUUUUCUCUCCUCCCGCUUUGUAAAAGCUGCAGUCUGUGUCCCAGGCUCAUGUCCAGGUAGCCUGUGAUGACUCCCUCCAGCGUGUUGGCCUGGGAACUCGCCUGGAGGAUUCGCAGUCCCUCCAGAGCCGCUGCUCUUUGGAAAAACAAGGCCUGUUCAGCACCGUCAUAUCAAGUGCUCUUCGGGAGGCUGCAAGAGGCUUCACACCUCCACUUAGAAGAGGUGACUGCAGUCCCGGGCUUAACCCUUCCCUGAGGGUCUCCGCAGUGAUGUCUUCAUCAAGUGCUGCCGCCGCCCCAGCCCGUAAGGGAGGUGCACCAAGGUGCCAUGGCCGGUGUCUCUGAAUGUAACCGGCCCCCGACAUCCACCUGUGCUGAGAACGUGAACGGAA
rnacentral:lncRNA from 1 species